CUAAUGGACCUUUUUAGGUCCACUCAAAUUUAGUUUUAGUAACCCU
rfam:Heterocephalus glaber contig174456, whole genome shotgun sequence.